AGAGUUUGAUCCUGGCUCAGAACGAACGUUAGCGGCGCGCCUAACACAUGCAACUCGUACGGGACUGGGGGCAACUCCAGUUCAGUGGCGCACGGGUGAGUAACACGUAGGUAAUCUCCCCUCGAGUGGUGGAUAACCUUCCGAAAGGAGGGCUAAUACAGCAUGAGACCACGGCCUCGAAAGAGGCAGGGGUUAAAGCGGAGGACCGAAAGGCUUCGCGCUCGAGGAUGAGCCUGCGGCCCAUCAGGUAGUUGGUGGGGUAAUGGCCUACCAAGCCUAAGACGGGUAGCUGGUCUGAGAGGAUGGUCAGCCACACUGGAACUGAGACACGGUCCAGACUCCUACGGGAGGCAGCAGUGGGGAAUCUUGCGCAAUGGGCGAAAGCCUGACGCAGCGACGCCGCGUGGGUGAUGAAGGCCUUCGGGUUGUAAAGCCCUGUGGGGAGGGAAGAAUAAGCCGUGGCUAAUAUACCACGGU
rnacentral:rRNA from 1 species